rnacentral:tRNA from 1 species
GCGGGUAUAGUUUAGUGGUAGAACACGACAUUGCCAAUGUCGAAGUUCGGGUCCGAUUCCCGAUACCCGCA